UCUUACGGGAGGCAGCAGUGGGGCUCUUUCGGGGAGGCAGGCAGUGAGGAAUAUUGGGCAAUGGGCGCAAGCCUGACCCAGCAACGCCGCGUGAAGGAAGACGGUCUUCGGAUUGUAAACUUCUUUUGUCACGGACGAAUAAUGACGGUACCUGGCGAAUAAGCCACGGCUAACUACGUGCCAGCAGCCGCGGUAAUACGUAGGUGGCGAGCGUUGUUCGGAUUUAUUGGGUGUAAAGGGCGAGUAGGCGGAUUUGCAAGUCAGGUGUGAAAGCCCCGGGCUUAACCCCGGGUCUGCAUUUGAAACUGCGGAUCUUGAGUAUGGGAGAGGCAGGCGGAAUUCCCGGUGUAGCGGUGGAAUGCGUAGAGAUCUGGAGGAACACCAGUGGCGAAGGCGGCCUCCUGGGCCACAACUGACGCUGAGGAGCGAAAGCGUGGGGAGCAAACAGGAUUAGAUACCCUGGUAGUCCACGCCGUAAACGAUGGAUACUAGGUGUGGGGGG
rnacentral:rRNA from 1 species